GAUGAACGCUGGCGACGUGCCUAAUACAUGCAAGUAGAACGCUGAAGCUUGGUGCUUGCACCGAGCGGAUGAGUUGCGAACGGGUGAGUAACGCGUAGGUAACCUGCCUCUUAGCGGGGGAUAACUAUUGGAAACGAUAGCUAAUACCGCAUAAAAGUCGAUAUCGCAUGAUAUUGAUUUGAAAGGUGCAAUUGCAUUAAUAAGAGAUGGACCUGCGUUGUAUUAGCUAGUUGGUGAGGUAACGGCUCACCAAGGCGAGGAUACAUAGCCGACCUGAGAGGGCGGUCGGCCACACUGGGACUGAGACACGGCCCAGACGCCUACGGGAGGCAGCAGUAGGGCAUCUUCGGCAAUGGGGGCAACCCUGACCGAGCAACGCCGCGUGAGUGAAGAAGGUUUUCGGAUCGGAAAGCUCUGUUGUAAGAGAAGAACGAGUGUGAGAGUGGAAAGUUCACACUGUGACGGUAACUGACCAGAAAGGAACGGCUAACUACGUG
rnacentral:rRNA from 1 species